CCACAAUGCGCCGAAGCACCAUAACAGCAAAGCCAGGACAAGGCCGAUGACUAUGGCUUGAACAGGCAGCAUUAGGGGCGUCUACAGGAGGGAAGUGAUAUGAUCAUAAUCAACUAACUAUUAAUAGAGGAACACCCUUCGAUCCUUCAUGUUGGCUUUACACUCCUCCAGUUCGGUCACAAGUGACAGCUUCUCCUGCUCCGUCUUCUCAUAGUCGUCCUUCAGGGCCUCCUUGGAACGAUCAGCUUCAUCCAGUUGGCUUUGUAGCUUGCUGCUAUCCUGUUGGUGCUGAAGCUCCAAAGCUGCCAGCUUCUUUUCCAGCUCCUGCUGAGAUCUCUCCAGAACUUUCAGGUUGAACUCGACGGCGCCGACGUCAUGGUCCCGCUCGGCGGAAGCUGCCUCCAGGAGGCGUUUCAGCGACUUCACCUCGUCACGUGAACUUUCGAGCUCGUCACGUAAACUGGAGGAGACGUCUGUCUGCUCUCUGAGGAUGUCCAUUUCAUCUUGGAGCCGCCGCAGUUGCCCUGUUUAAAGUCAGCUCAUUAUUUCCAACAGCGGUGCCUGAUCCUGGGCCUUCCCAAGUUCAUCAUUCAAGCGCUGGAUUGUUUUUUCAUAGUCGCUUGAGGAGCUCAUAUUUGAGCGGACGCUGUGGAAUGUCGAGGCUGAACAUUUGUCGCGGCCAUAACCAGGAGAAGACCAUGGCGUUGGGUGUCAUCA